GUUGCUAGAACAAUGGCUGCAUAGAGUACUACAUAUUGAACUUUUGGUUUAGGGGUACAUGAGGUUGACCCAACUUCACACGGUUUAGGCCUCAAAGAAUCAACUGUAGCUGUUAAAGCUAAAAGGAUUGUGCCCUACAA